rnacentral:rRNA from 1 species
AGUGAACGCUGGCGGCAGGCCUAACACAUGCAAGUCGAGCGGCAGCGGGUCCCCGCGAGGGGAGUGCCGGCGAGCGGCGGACGGGUGAGGAACACAUCGGAAUCUGCCUGGUUGUGGGGGAGUAACGUAGGGAAACUUACGCUAAUACCGCAUGCGACCCUGAGUCGACGGACUUGGGGUGAAAGUGAGGGACCUUCGGGCCGUCACGCGACCAGAUGAGCCGACUGUCGGAUUAGCUAGUUGGCGGGGUAACGGCCCGCCAAGGCGACGAUCCGUAGCUGGUCUGAGAGGAUGAUCAGCCACACUGGGACUGA